UACAGAGGUGGCAAGCGUUGUUCGGAAUUACUGGCGUAAAGGGCGCGUAGGCGGUUCGUUAAGUCCUGUGUGAAAUCCCCCGGCUCAACUGGGGAACUGCACAGGAAACUAGCGGGCUUGAGUUCGGGAGAGGGAAGCGGAAUUCCGGGUGUAGCGGUGAAAUGCGUAGAUAUCCGGAGGAACACCGGUGGCGAAGGCGGCUUCCUGGACCGACACUGACGCUGAGGCGCGAAAGCUAGGGGAGCAAACGGG
rnacentral:rRNA from 1 species